AGUGAACGCUGGCGGUAGGCCUAACACAUGCAAGUCGAACGGCAGCACAGUAAGAGCUUGCUCUUACGGGUGGCGAGUGUCGGACGGGUGAGGAAUACAUCGGAAUCUACUUUUUCGUGGGGGAUAACGUAGGGAAACUUACGCUAAUACCGCAUACGACCUACGGGUGAAAGCAUGGGAUCUUCGGACCUUUCGCGAUUGAAUGAGCCGAUGUCGGAUUAGCUAGUUGGCGGGGUAAAGGCCCACAAAGGCGACGAUCCGUAGCUGGUCUGAGAGGAUGAUCCGCCACACUUGAACUGAGACACGCUCCAGACUCCUACGGGAGCUAGCAGUGGGGAAUAUUGGCCAAUAGGCGCGAGCCUAAUCCAGCCGGACCGCGUGGGUGAAGGAGACCUUCUGGUUGUUAAGCCCUUGUGUUGGGAAAGAAAAGCAGCAGGUUAAUACCCCGCUGUGCUGACGGUACCCAAAUAAUAAGCACCGGCUAAGUACGUG
rnacentral:rRNA from 1 species